rnacentral:misc_RNA from 1 species
AUUCCGUAGGUGAACCUGCGGAAGGAUCAUUAAAGAACGCCCCGUUUUUUGAAAUGGGUAAUUCUAAACCGUGUAUACAUACCUUUGUUGCUUUGGCAGGCCGCCCCUCAGGGCGUCGGCUCCGGCUGACUGCGCCUGCCAGAGGACCCAAACUCUUUUGUUUAGUGAUGUCUGAGUACUAUAUAAUAGUUAAAACUUUCAACAACGGAUCUCUUGGUUCUG